rnacentral:tRNA from 1 species
GGUGGACGUCGCCAAGUGGUAAGGCUGUGGAUUGUGGCUCCGCCAUUCGCGGGUUCAAAUCCCGUCGUUCACC